AUAGCCUAACGGUUGAACCAGCAACUUGGAGGAAUGUAUAGCAACUGCUAGUUGCACUAAAAGCUUUAGUGUGAAAUCAACUUAGUUGAAUAAAAUUCUGGGUAGUAUUAUGAUAAUGACAUUAUCUGUCCAUAAGUCUUGACCAAAUUACGUGCCAGCAGUCGCGGUAAUACGUAGAAGACAAGUGUUAUUCAUCUUUAAUAGGUUUAAAGGGUACUUAGACGGUAAAUCAAGCCUUAAAAAGGGACUAAUCUGCUAGAGUUUUAUGUGAAAAAGUAUUAAAGUACUGCUGGUGUAGAGAUGAAAUUCUGUCAUACCUUGAAUGGCACAGGUUAAGGCGAAAGCAUCUUUUUAUGUAAAAACUGACGUUGAAGGACGAAGGCUUUGUGUCUCGAACAGGAUUAGAUACCCUAGUAGUCUAAGCAGACAAUGAUGAAUGUCAUAGAUUAGAUGUAAUUUGAUCUAUAAAUGAAAGUGUAAGCAUUCCACCUCAAGAGUAAUUUGGCAACAUUGGAACUGAAAUCAUUAGACCGUUUCUGAAACCAGUAGUGAAGUAUGUUGUUUAAUUUGAUAAUCCGCAAAAAACCUUACCACUUUAAUUUGAAUAGAUAUAUUUUAUCAUACAAGCGUUGCACGGCUGUCUUCAGUUAAUGUCGUGAGACUUUGGUUAGUUCCAUAAAAUUAACGUAAACCCUUACUUUAUUUACUAAUAAAGUAGUUCACCGCUAUAUUGGAUAUGAUAACAGGGAUCAAGACAAGUCAUCAUGACCUAAAUAUUGU
rnacentral:rRNA from 1 species